rnacentral:rRNA from 1 species
CACGUAGUUAGCCGUGGCUUCCUCCUCGAGUACCGUCAUUAUCGUCCUCGAAGACAGGGCUUUACAAUCCGAAGACCUUCAUCACCCACGCGGCGUUGCUGCGUCAGACUUUCGUCCAUUGCGCAAUAUUCCC